UACGAAGGGGGCUAGCGUUGCUCGGAAUUACUGGGCGUAAAGGGCGCGUAGGCGGAUAGUUUAGUCAGAGGUGAAAGCCCAGGGCUCAACCUUGGAACUGCCUUUGAUACUGGCUAUCUUGAGUUCGGGAGAGGUGAGUGGAAUGCCGAGUGUAGAGGUGAAAUUCGUAGAUAUUCGGCGGAACACCAGUGGCGAAGGCGACUCACUGGCCCGAUACUGACGCUGAGGCGCGAAAGCGUGGGGAGCAAUCAGG
rnacentral:rRNA from 1 species